GGUUAUGAGAACUAUCUGGCUUGGACAUUUGUCGCCUCACUGAUCACCAGGAUUCAUUAGAUAUAUCUGAAUGCUUAGUCUAAUGUCCCCUUCCUUCCAAGCCACUCCAGCUCCAUGUGUGUGCCUCAAACUGUACUCAGUUAAAAAGGUAGAUGACAUCAGAUAAAGCCUUUGAUAAGGGUAGGUGAGUAGGUGUGCUCCCGUGUCAAGAGUUUAUGCAACAAGGAUAACAACUCUGGACAUUCCUGGCUGUCUGUCUGGCAAGUCCAGAGACCUACCUCAUAACUUCAUGACUAUCCUUUCAUUUGAUUCUCAAAUUUCUGUACUAAA
ensembl:misc_RNA Gm25219 predicted gene, 25219